rnacentral:rRNA from 1 species
AUUGAACGCUGGCGGCAUGCCUUACACAUGCAAGUCGAACGGCAGCACGGGAGCAAUCCUGGUGGCGAGUGGCGAACGGGUGAGUAAUAUAUCGGAACGUGCCCGGUCGUGGGGGAUAACGUAGCGAAAGCUACGCUAAUACCGCAUACGAUCUACGGAUGAAAGCGGGGGAUCGCAAGACCUCGCGCGAUUGGAGCGGCCGAUAUCAGAUUAGGUAGUUGGUGAGGUAAAGGCUCACCAAGCCGACGAUCUGUAGCUGGUCUGAGAGGACGACCAGCCACACUGGGACUGAGACACGGCCCAGACUCCUACGGGAGGCAGCAGUGGGGAAUUUUGGACAAUGGGCGGCAAGCCUGAUCCAGCAAUAGCCG